rnacentral:rRNA from 1 species
CAGCCGCCGCGGUAAUACGAAGGGGGCUAGCGUUGUUCGGAAUUACUGGGCGUAAAGCGCACGUAGGCGGACAUUUAAGUCAGGGGUGAAAUCCCGGGGCUCAACCCCGGAACUGCCUUUGAUACUGGGUGUCUAGAGUAUGGAAGAGGUGAGUGGAAUUCCGAGUGUAGAGGUGAAAUUCGUAGAUAUUCGGAGGAACACCAGUGGCGAAGGCGGCUCACUGGUCCAUUACUGACGCUGAGGUGCGAAAGCGUGGGGAGCAAACAGGAUUAGAUACCCGAGUAGUCCCUGUCUCUUAUAC